rnacentral:pre_miRNA from 1 species
AGGGGGAGCGUCGGAUCUUGGGCUGUCCCCCAGCGCCCUGGGCUCCAGGGCCUGCACCGCUAGAAUCGCGUUCCCCAGGCGCAGCCCCCU